rnacentral:misc_RNA from 1 species
UUUUGAAGGUUAUGGGGCCAUUCCAACUACUAGAAGGUCUGAUGGAAGAAGCCAUUCAAGAAGCAAUUGCCUCAAAUCGGCGCUCGGAUGACAUUGCUUUUUAUUUUAAUUUUAAUUUUGAUUUCAAUUUCGACUUUGAUUUUUAUUUUUAGUCUUGAUUUUAGUUUUGAUUUUUGAUUUUGGUUUUAAUUUUGAAUUUGUGUUGAAUAGGGUGAUAAUUUGUGAUAAUUUAAUAUAUUGUAUUUUUUUUAUUUUUAAUUUAAAUUGAAUGGAAAAAUUUAUCCUUUUAACUGAUUGAAUUAUGAUUUUAGUUUUAAUUUUAAUAUUGAUUUUUGUUUCUUUAUUGAUUUUAAUUCCAGAUUUAAUCAAAUUUUAGUAGUGAUUUUGUUUUUAAUUUUAACUAUUGUAAUUUUGAAUUUUAGUAUUUAUUUUAAUUUUAAAUUUUAAUUACUGUAAUAUUAAAUUUUAGUUUUGGAUUUGGUGAUGACUUUAAUUUUGGGUUUGAUUGAAUUUUAGUAUAUUCAUUUUGAUUUUGGUGUGAUUUUGAUUUGGUAUAAUUUGUUUUGUCACAAUUGUUUAAACUAACAUAGUUUCGGAAAAACAAGUAACUAACAAAAAUAUGGACAUAUGUCUGAAUUAAAUUAUUAUUAUUAUAUUUACAUGUCUUCGAUCAAGAGAAUAACGACAAUGGUGCUGAAGGCUGGUGUCGGAGCAUAGAAAAACUUGGUGUUGAAUUCAAGUGGACCAGCAUCCACUAAGCUGCCACAGCAGGCGCCGAGGAACUAGUCGAGGUUUAACGAAGUUCUCUCACGGACUACGGUAUUGGAAAUUUAAGAAACAUUAUAGUUGCAAAAGAAAAAAAU